ACUUGCUGAGUAAAGGGGCCUUUGGGCCCUGAAUAAUCAGCAGUGGUCGCCAGGUAGUACAUGUCGUGGGCCUUGGGUGAACCUCUGAGACUUACUGGCUUCAGGAAAGAAUGGAAACGGCCUCUCACAGCAGAGAACUGGUCACUGCGCACUGCUCCACAGCUAAGAAAGUUUUCCAGGUGGUCUAGCGCUCCUAACAAACACCUUAUGAUUAUCCUUCAUUCAACAGAGGAGGAGACUGCAGGCAUGCUUCAGUCAGUGUGGUACAGAUCUGACUGAAGACAAAAGUAUAAAUUCAAGAUUACUUCCAUUUCUGCAUAGACAAGGAAUUUGGAUCUUGGUGCUCCUGUAUUUGUGUAUCUGAAAAAAAGGCAUCAUCUUCUUCAUCACUAUGAAUGCUUUCAUCAGAAUCAUAUAUAACACCACUAUCAGACAAAGGAAGAAAUGGCUGCAAUAAAAGAUAAUGCUACAUCUACAAAAGUCAAGAUGACAAGGCUCUAAAUCAAUAUCAUCCGUUGGUAUAUCCUGGAUUUGAAACAGCUCUGAAUACUGAUCCUCUG
ensembl:lncRNA novel transcript, antisense to DMXL2